rnacentral:rRNA from 1 species
AAUCAACGCUGGCGGCGUGCCUCAGACAUGCAAGUCGAACGAUUAAGACUUCCUUCGGGAAGUGCAUAAAGUGGCGCACGGGUGAGUAACACGUAAGUAAUCUACCCUCGAGUGGGGAAUAACGUUCGGAAACGGACGCUAAUACCGCAUAACGCAGCGGCACCGCAAGGUGACAGUUGUUAAAGGAGCAAUCCGCUUGAGGAGGAGCUUGCGGCAGAUUAGCUAGUUGGUAAGGUAAUGGCUUACCAAGGCUACGAUCUGUAUCCGGUCUAAGAGGACGGUCGGACACACUGACACUGAAUAACGGGUCAGACUCCUACGGGAGGCAGCAGUCGGGAAUUUUGGGCAAUGGGCGAAAGCCUGACCCAGCAACGCCGCGUGAAGGAUGAAGUAUUUCGGUAUGUAAACUUCGAAAGAAUAGGAAGAAUAAAUGACGGUACUAUUUAUAAGCUCCGGCUAACUACGUG